AAUACUACUUAGCCAUUGCUGCAUUCGCAGCAACAGGAUGGAAUUGGAGACCAUUAUUCUAAGUGAAGUAACUCAGGAACGGAAACCCAAACAAUGUAUGUUCUUGCUUAUAAGUGGGAGCUAAGCUAUGAGGACGCAGAGGCAUAAGAAUGAUACACUGGACUUUGGGGACUCGAGGGAAAGUGUAGGGGGUGGUGAGGGAUAAAAGCCUACACAUUGAUUGGGUAGAGUGUACACUGCUUGGGUGAUGGGUGUACCAACAUCUCAGAAAGCACCACUGAAGGUGGUAACCCAACACCACCUGUUCCCCAAAAACUUAUUGAAAUGAAAAAAUAAAAUGCUGUGCAUAAUAAAUACAUAGAAUUUUU
rnacentral:lncRNA from 1 species